GGGGAAUAUUGGACAAUGGGGGCAACCCUGAUCCAGCAAUGCCGCGUGUGUGAAGAAGGCCUUCGGGUUGUAAAGCACUUUUAUCGGGAACGAAACAUUGUCGGCCAAUACCCGGCAAGACUGACGGUACCCGAGGAAUAAGCACCGGCUAACUCCGUGCCAGCAGCCGCGGUAAUACGGAGGGUGCAAGCGUUAAUCGGAAUUACUGGGCGUAAAGCGUGCGCAGGCGGUUUGUUAAGUCUGCUGUGAAAUCCCCGAGCUCAACUUGGGAAUUGCAGUGGAUACUGGCAGGCUGGAGUAUGGUAGAGGAAGGUGGAAUUCCCGGUGUAGCAGUGAAAUGCGUAGAGAUCGGGAGGAACACCAGUGGCGAAGGCGGCCUUCUGGACCAAUACUGACGCUCAUGCACGAAAGCGUGGGGAGCAAACA
rnacentral:rRNA from 1 species